GUUGGGCAUGUUUUGCCCUUAAUCCAGUCUGGAGUCUGAGGUUGGUGGAUCAAGUGAGCUGGAGGAAGCUCUGUGGCGACAGCACCCUAUGUCGAACGGGUCGUCCACGCUAAGUUCGUCGAGAUAUGGUGUUCCGGGGGAGCCCGGCCACCCACCAGGUUGUCUAAGGAGGCGGUGAAACCGGCCCAGGUCGGAAACGAAGCAGUCAAAUCCCCGUGCUGUCCAGUAUUUGGGAUAUUACCUUGUGAGUAGAUUAGCUGCAGUGGCAGGUGCUUGGCAAUAUACUUCGAGACUAAUCUUAU
rnacentral:SRP_RNA from 1 species